UGCUGAGUCUGUAUUUUGUUAACAAAUUUUUUUGUGGGUGCUUUAAGGGAGCUACCAUUUGAUUUUUAUGGGGGGGCUAGGAUGAAAUUUGAAAAAAAUAGGCAGGACAGGAGUUUUGAGUAAAAAAAAAGGCAGGAUGUGACACUUGCAAAAAAAAAAAGUCAGGACGACAAUUUAGGUAAAAAAAAGUCAGGAUAAACUAAAAAAAAAAGGCAGGACCGAUUAGAGUGAAAAAUAAAAAGGCAGGACAGAGAUUACAGCUAAAAAAAAAGGCAGGACAAAAUUUUUCAUCCUAGCCCCCCCAUAAAAAUCAAAUGGUAGCUCCCUAAAUCU
rnacentral:lncRNA from 1 species